rnacentral:rRNA from 1 species
UUAGAGUUUGAUCCUGGCUCAGGAUGAACGCUAGCUACAGGCUUAACACAUGCAAGUCGAGGGGCAGCGGGAUUGAAGCUUGCUUCAAUUGCCGGCGACCGGCGCACGGGUGAGUAACGCGUAUGCAACCUGCCCUUCACAGGGGGAUAACCGGGAGAAUUCCGACUAAUACCGCAUACGUCCUCCGGGGGCAUCCCCUGGGGAUGAAAGAUUUAUCGGUGAAGGAUGGGCAUGCGUGAUAUUAGGUAGUUGGCGGGGCAACGGCCCACCAAGCCCACGAUAUCUAGGGGUUCUGAGAGGAAGGUCCCCCACAUUGGUACUGAGACACGGACCAAACUCCUACGGGAGGCAGCAGUGAGGAAUAUUGGUCAAUGGACGAGAGUCUGAACCAGCCAAGUCGCGUGAAGGAAGACGGAUCUAUGGUUUGUAAACUUCUUUAGUGCGGGAACAAAGCGGCGUCGUGACGCCGGAUGAGUGUACCGCAAGAAUAAGCAUCGGCUAACUCCGUGCCAGCAGCCGCGGUAAUACGGAGGAUGCGAGCGUUAUCCGGAUUUAUUGGGUUUAAAGGGAGCGCAGGCUGCGAGGCAAGUCAGCGGUCAAAUGUCGGGGCUCAACCCCGGCCUGCCGUUGAAACUGUCCUGCUAGAGUUCGAGUGAGGUAUGCGGAAUGCGUUGUGUAGCGGUGAAAUGCAUAGAUAUGACGCAGAACUCCGAUUGCGAAGGCAGCAUACCAACUCGCGACUGACGCUGAGGCUCGAAAGCGUGGGUAUCGAACAGGAUUAGAUACCCUGGUAGUCCACGCAGUAAACGAUGAAUACUAACUGUUCGGAGGGCGACCUCUGAGUGGUAAAGCGAAAGUGUUAAGUAUUCCACCUGGGGAGUACGCCGGCAACGGUGAAACUCAAAGGAAUUGACGGAA